CAAGCCAUAUAAAAAUACCCUUAUAACAUUUUACACCUAACCCUAACCCUAACCCUACAAAAUUCACCUAGCCGCACCACCCCUCUGCCCGCCGCCAAAGUCGCCGGAAAAGGCAUAAUCCGGCGACGCGUUCACUCUCUGGUCCCCCAUGGUCCCCCCUCUCUCAUCUUCUCCUUCUUCUACGUCACCUACCCGUACGACUCUCAUCAUUACCAUCCAAAACAUGUUUGAUUUUUCUCAUGGACAGAUUUUGGAUUAAUUGCGGACGUAGGAUUUAAGUACCUUAAAUCCUAUCCUUCCAUUUAUCCCAAAAAUUGUUCAAAAAGGGGAGAAAACAAGGUGGAUUUUCAGAUUUAAGAAAAGGGAGAUAAUUUUCGAAUCUCUGGAGGAGAAGCAAGGUGAAGCUUCUAGGCUUCCUAUAAAUAGGGGAUUUUCGAACAGUCUUGAGGGGGAUUUUUUGGGAAAAAGCUAGGGUUUUGGUUUUGAUUUUGAGUCUUUCUCUUCUUCUAAUUUUCAGUUCAUUCAUAGACAAAAGAGAGAAGUUCUGUUUCGUUUUGAUAAUCAAAAAAUAUUUAUAAAAAAAAGGCAUUUCGGUUUCCUCCCGUUCAAUUUUGGGUUUUGAGAUUCAAAAAAUGGAGUUUAGCUGAGCGAGGUCGGAUCGCCGUUCAAGUACUGCUACUGGUUCGCGGAAUCACUACUAUUUUGCUGGGAUUUUGGAUUCUAAGCCUUGUAAUCGACCUCACUUCUAUUAUCAAAAGAAAGGUUUAAUUUCAGGUAUGGACCCGCUGAUUCUAUCCAAAAUGCUGAUGGUGGUAAAGAUUCCUAGGAAGUUGAUCAAGUGGUGGAAAAUGUUUUUGUUGCUAGAGCAGCAUGAGUUAAUGCAGAAAUUGGGCACCAUCACUUCCCUUCUUGAUAUCACACCUCGCCCAGACUUAGUGGAGGCGAUGCUGACUUAUUGGGAUCCGCAAAUUUGGUUUUCAGAUUUGGAGAGUGUGAGAUGACCCCUACCUUGGCAGAAAUGUCUGGUCUAACUUGUUUAAGCUAUAUAGGCAAGGACAUGAUACUUCCCCGAGACCAUUCUAGGACCAAAUUCCUCAGCGACCUAGGCCUGAAAGAAAACAAGCAUUUAAAAUGCCUCGAGUAGUCAUGGAUAUCCUUGUAUUAUUUGUUUGCUAGAUUUGGACCACAGGAUAGUUUUGACGUUUUUUGGGAUGAGUUCUGCACAACCAAGGCAAAGUGGCAAAGACGUCGCCUCGAAGCUUUCAGCCUUGCUUUGUUUGGAUUAUUGGUUUUUCUAUUAGAUGAGAGGCACAUUAGCACUCGUUUGCAGUCAGUGGUAAUGGCACUAUUUCAUGAGAAGCAGCGCAAAACUGUUACCGUUGUGUCGAUGAUCUUAGCAGAGUUGUAAUGAGCCCUGAGUGAGGUUAGGGGAGGUGUCAGGUAUUUUGAGGGAAGUAACCUUUUGCUAUAAUUGUGGAUGGUGGAGCAUUUGCACAUCGCUUCCUUACUUUGUCCCAUCGACUGUACCUUGAGGGAUCGGGUGGUAUGCAUCGAGCGUAGGAUGAAAUCUCCUACGUUUACAUACCCAAUAGGCGUCACAGCUUGGAUUGAGUUCCUUGGUUUGAGGACAAAUGGAAAUAUUUUGUGGGCUUACCUUUGGCUACCUUUAGAUGAUAUCUUGGUAGGAUGCCUUAUGCAGCCUUUCCUAAUGCUGAUAGGACUUAAGUGUGUCAGGUCGUACACUCCCAUUAGGGUAAUGCGACAGUUGGGAAGAAGACAAGAGGAGCCUCCAACAAUGAAUCUUCAGAGGCACAUCAUGAAUUUUAGCAAAAAGGCGGCUGACAAAAUCAAGUACGUGCAGUACUUGAACAAUGCAAAGAGGAUGAAGAAAAAUACAUUAGUAGAAGACGUUGGUAGGCCCGAAUGUACUCAGGAGUACCUGAUUUGGUUACAGUCCAUCCCACCAGGGGUCAGCACCACAUUGCUAGCACAACUUAGGGGUCGGGCAGUUUAGACAGAUGAUUUUGAGGAGGCAUCGGACCAAGAUCCUUGGAAUAAGCUUGAGUCGAUCAAGUCUCAGUUAGCGGGAUUGGCAGCAAAUGUGGAGCAACAUGGCCAGUAUUUGUUUAGGGUCGGCCUUCAGGAUGCGGGGUCACACGCCAGGGUUCCCAGCAUCGAUGUUUCUUUACGAGGCAUGUUACAGAGUUUGAGCAUGACGGACAGCCCAGGACCAUCCCAGUCAGGACCGUCACAUUCAGGAGCAGCUUGAGGAGUCAUUCUAUUUAGGUGUUUUAAGAUCGUCUUAUGUCAUCUUUUACUUUCGUGUCUUGUCUGGGAGUAAUGAAUCCAUUAGGUAAUGUCAGAGUUUGUCGUAGUGUUGUUGAGUCUGUCAGGUUUUUCAUUAUCGUACUUCCCAUUGUAUUUUAAUAUCGAAAAGUUUUUAAAUGAAAAAUCCCAAAAAUAUUUUAUUUUU